UACGUAGGGUGCGAGCGUUAAUCGGAAUUACUGGGCGUAAAGCGUGCGCAGGCGGCUUUGCAAGACAGAUGUGAAAUCCCCGGGCUCAACCUGGGAACUGCAUUUGUGACUGCAAGGCUAGAGUACGGCAGAGGGGGAUGGAAUUCCGCGUGUAGCAGUGAAAUGCGUAGAUAUGCGGAGGAACACCAAUGGCGAAGGCAAUCCCCUGGGCCUGUACUGACGCUCAUGCACGAAAGCGCGGGGAGCAAACAGG
rnacentral:rRNA from 1 species